rnacentral:rRNA from 1 species
AUUGAACGCUGGCGGCAUGCCUUACACAUGCAAGUCGAACGGCAGCACGGGAGCAAUCCUGGUGGCGAGUGGCGAACGGGUGAGUAAUAUAUCGGAACGUGCCCAGUCGUGGGGGAUAACGCAGCGAAAGCUGUGCUAAUACCGCAUACGAUCUACGGAUGAAAGCGGGGGAUCGCAAGACCUCGCGCGAUUGGAGCGGCCGAUAGCAGAUUAGCUAGUUGGUGGGGUAAAGGCCCACCAAGGCGACGAUCUGUAGCUGGUCUGAGAGGACGACCAGCCACACUGGAACUGAGACACGGUCCAGACUCCUACGGGAGGCAGCAGUGGGGAAUUUUGGACAAUGGGCGCAAGCCUGAUCCAGCAAUGCCGCGUGCAGGAUGAAGGCCUUCGGGUUGUAAACUGCUUUUGUACGGAACGAAACGGCUCCUUCUAAUACAAGGGGCUAAUGACGGUACCGUAAGAAUAAGCACCGGCUAACUACGUGCCAGCCGCCGCGGUAACAC